rnacentral:rRNA from 1 species
AUUUCCUAAUUCUUUUGAUUUUGGAGAAUUAAAAGCAGAAAUUAUGUUUAUACAUGUUAGUGAAAGCGUAUAAAUGAGUAAAAAUGAAAAUUUAUCAAAUUGUAUCAAACCUAAAGAAAUAAAAUUUCUUUAACUUUAAGACACAUAACUUAAGUCAUGUAAAACCUGAAACAAAGUUUUAUUUACAGCAGUAAAGAAUUUUAAACAAUUAACGUUAGUUAGAUUUAGAAUAAUUUCUUAAUUUUGUCCUAUUAAGUGCCAGCAGACGCGGUUAAACUUAAGAAAUAAGUUUUUAAUUAAAAAUAAGUUUAAUUUUUAGAAUAAUAAAAAAUAUAGUUGAAUUAAUUUUGAAUAGGUUAAAUUAACAAAAUUAUGAAUACCAUAAAAGAAGUUAAACUAUAAUAUAAUUUGGAAAAUGAAAAAAGAAGGUUUAAACAGGAUUAGAUACCCUGGUAAUUUCUUUUGUAAACUAAGAAAGUUUUUUCUACUUGAAUAGUACAUCUUUAUAGAUGAAAAUCAAAAAUUUUGGCUGUUUAUUUUCUAAUUAGAGGAAUACGUACUUUAAUUUGAUAAUCCGCAUAAAACCUUACCUAUUUUUGAAAUACAGGUGUUGCAUGGUCGUCGUCAAUUUAAAUUUAUGAUUUAAAUAAAACCCUCUUAGGAUUAAGUCAGAUGAUAUGACCCUUAUAAAUAGGGAUAGUAUGUAUUACAAUAAUUAAAUUAAUUAAAUUUUAAUUAUGGAAUUUAAUUUAAAUUUUAAAGAAAAGAGAAUUUAAUAGUAAUUGAGUGUAAGAAUAAUUCAAUGAAAUAGUUCAAAUAUGAGUACAAAUUGCCCGUCGCCUUUCUUAAUAUUUAAAAAUAAAAAGAGAGUAAGUCGUAACAUAGUGGGAGAAAGGGAACUUUUUCCUGUUU